AUUGAACGCUGGCGGCAGGCCUAACACAUGCAAGUCGAGCGGAGCGGCGGACGGGUGAGUAAUGCCUAGGAAUCUGCCUGGUCAUGGGGGAUAACGUCCGGAAACGGGCGCUAAUACCGCCUACUAUCAGAGUAGCCUCGGUCGUAUUAGCUAGUUGGUGGGGUAAAGGCCUGCCAAGGCGACGAUCCGUAACUGGUCUGCGAGGAUGAUCAGUCACACUGGAACUGAGACACGGUCCAGACUCCUACGGGAGGCAGAAGUGGGGAAUAUUGGAAAAUGGGCGAAAGCCUGAUCCAGCCAUGCCGCGGGUGUGAAGAAGGUCUUCGGAUUGUAAAGCCCUUUAAGUUGGGAGGCGUUACCAACAGAAUAAGCACCGGCUAACUACGUGCCAGCAGCCGCGGUAAUUC
rnacentral:rRNA from 1 species